UACGGAGGGUCCAAGCGUUAUCCGGAUUCAUUGGGUUUAAAGGGUGCGUAGGCGGUCUAAUAAGUCAGUGGUGAAAGCCUCCCGCUCAACGGGAGAAUUGCCAUUGAUACUGUUAGACUUGAAUCUAGUUGAAGUGGGCGGAAUACGUCAUGUAGCGGUGAAAUGCAUAGAUAUGACGUAGAACGCCGAUUGCGAAGGCAGCUCACUAAGUUAGUAUUGACGCUGAGGCACGAAAGCGUGGGUAGCGAACAGG
rnacentral:rRNA from 1 species